CCUACGGGAGGCAGCAGUAAGGAAUAUUGGUCAAUGGAGGCAACUCUGAACCAGCCAUGCCGCGUGCAGGAAGACGGCCCUAUGGGUUGUAAACUGCUUUUGUACGGGAGAAAACCCUUUCACGUGUGAGAGGUUGAUAGUACCGUAAGAAUAAGCAUCGGCUAACUUCGUGCCAGCAGCCGCGGUAAU
rnacentral:rRNA from 1 species